CUGAAGGCUAAGAAGUCCAAGAUCAAGAUGCCAGCUGACUCAGUGUCUGAUGAGGGCCCUCUUCCUAGUUUUCAGAUGGUCAACUUCUUACUGUAUCCUCACAUGAUGGAGAGAGGAAGCUUAUAAGAAUGCUAACAUUAUGGCAGCUUUAUUCUCAUGACCUCAUCUAAACCUAAUUACCUCUCAAAGGCCCCAUUUCCCAAUGCCAUCACAUUGGAGUAUAGGGUUUCAACAUAUACAUUUGGGAGGAUACAGCAUUCGGUCAAUAAUCUUUCUCCUUGCUUUCCUCUUUUAGACUCUUACUGUAGAUGAGCUUCCUUAAUGUAGCAGGAUAUGACUGCCAAUAUCCUGGGCAUAUGCCUGUACAGCUUUUAACUGUCCUAUAGAGAUUACACUGGCACAUACUUUGCUAAUGUCAUAUAGUAUACAUUUAAAAUAGAGUUUUUUGGAAAAAAAGAUAAAUGAAGCAUACCCAAUUCCCCGAACUCCCGUUAUUCCACAGAGAAUUGUGCUUAGGCCAAGUAUAUCUGAUGGUAAAGAUAGACUCUGGUAGAAAGGUCACAUCCUCCGGAGUCUCUCUCUCUCUCUCUCUCUCUCUCUCUUUCUCUCUCUCUCUCUCUCUCUAUAUAUAUAUAUGUUUUUUUUUUUUUUUUAAAGCGGAGUCCUGCUUUGUCGUCCAGGCCGGAGUGCAAUGGCAUGAUCUCAGCUCACUGCAACUUCCGCCUCCCGGGUUCAAGCAAUUCUCCUGUCUCAGCCUCGUCUGGGUCCCAGACCCAAAGACUGCUCCUCCAAACUCAGAGAUACCAACACCAGCAAAGCAGCUCCUCUUCUUCAGUACAGAUGCUUCUCAACGUACAAUGAGGUUGUAUCCUUACAAACACAUGGUAAGUUGAAAAUAUCGUUAAGUCAAAAAUGCAUUUUAAUAGUUCAAUAAAUCCAUAGUAAAGUUGAAAAGUUGUAAGAAAAUCCAAGGCAAGUAGAGGACUGUCUGUAGUCCAUGUUUCAACUCUUGGGACCCAUCCUCUAAGUUUCUACAUUUUAAUUAUUCUAGCCUCUUCCCUUUGUUCCUUUAGCUAUAAGGAUGAUAGCUACUUUCUACAGUUGCUACCUCCAUAAUACCUUACAGCUCUCUUUUGAUCCUUCCAGUUUCUUUGUUAACAAUAUAUUUAUAUAAAAUAAUCCUGUUCAAUAACUGGCACAGUUUCUUUCUUUUGAGUAGACCCUGAUACACCCUUCAAAAUUUAUUUGUAAAAGUUCAAGGUAGGAUUCUAGUAGCUCAGGCUCAGGUCAUAUAUCUCCCUCUCUGCUAUUUGCUAUGUAUGAUCCAGUGGAACUAUGAUUGACAUAACCUAGGCCAAAUGCUCGGGUGUGUGGCUGAGAUGAGGGACACUAUGAUUGAUAGUUUCAGAAGGAUCAUUUGGAUUUAGAGAAAUUCUCCAAAGAAACAGAUUGCUGUCUCCAGAAUAAGAGGGAUGAAAUGCCUGCUGGGGUGGGGGGCUUCGGCUACCACAGGUAGCUAACAUAGCACUGCCUCUCUACCUAUAAGUACAUAUGUUUAUUAAUGGGUCCAAAUUAGUAAGGUAUAAACAUGAUAUUAUGUUCUACUCUAGUCAUUCCUUUUAGCCAUAUCCUGCAAUAUAUUUUAUUAUCCCUGAAAAUAUAUUCAGCAGA
ensembl:lncRNA